UCAUUGUGUUGACUUAUCUCCUUCCAGACAGAACCUACAUUUAAAAAACUAUAGUAUAAAAUGGAGUUAAGAAAAGAUGUGAUAUCUUUUCUUGCUGAAAAGGGUGUUCUAUACCCUGGUUUGCCCAACCCAUGAACUGUUAUAAGCCAACAGUAGGAUAAAGCAGAAGAAGAAUAUCACUCUUGUAAAACACCCAUUCCCCUGGUGAUCUGAAAUACUUGGUGAUCUGUUAUUCAUUUUGCUCCCCCAGGGGAUGACUAUUUGUCUGCAAUGAUGUUGGAAAUAUACUGAGAGACUUCACACAUCCUUUUCCAAACUGAGCUUCAUUCCAAUGGAGGAGGUUAAAUCAUUUGGCUUUCAAGCUGGCAUCUGUCUACACCUGGCAUGUGGAGUGGGAUAGGUGAAGCUAUGAAAAUAUACAGCUCAUACUGUAGAACUUUCAAAGAGAACUCAUUUUUAAAAAUGCCCUCUGCUUUAUUCACUUGUUACUCAUUUGAACAGGCACCAGGAAAACAGCACAGAACCAUAUCCAUUGUACUUGGCAAAGUUUAUGCAAGUGGGAAUUAAAAGAAUACCUCUGAUGUCCUGUUAUUCAUGAUACCACUCACUUUGGUAACAUUUAUGGUAACAAUAUGAAUCUUACCUGGCACUUGGUGGGCAUUGGCACAUACAAAUUAGCUCUUAUCUUCUGCAAGUCUAUUCAAUUUCUUGUCCAAGGCUCAAUACAACAAUAACAGAUUGUUUAAUAUAUGACUGGAAAUGUAUUAUUUAUGAUCACAAAUAAGCUCAUUGUAUCUUAGAAGCUCAAGUACUGUGAAGACACUGAUGUUCAACAUUUGUUUUCUCAGAAAUUUUUAUUUGUUAAAACCGCAGAUUUUCUAUAUCCAGAGGACUAAACCUACAGAUGCAUAAUUUUACAUUAAGCUCAUUUUCAUAUUCAGAAACCAAUGUUUAUUUCAACAAAGAGCAAGAAAACUUACCUUUUAAAAGUACAGUUUAAACUGGGUAUCAUUAGGUAGAACAUGUAUAGAUAUUAUAACAACUUGUAAAUUUCAUAUCUAUCACUGCAGACUUAUUUGGCAGGGUGAAACCAAAAAUUACAAGUUAGAGAGCCAAUAAUGCCCAGUAAAAAAUGAUAAUAAUAUCAGUAACUGUCAUCUGCACAGUGAUCAGGAGGCUGCACACACUGCCAGGACUAACUUCUUUUAUUGCAAAACGGCAGCAUUGACUAAUGACCAAAAAGUGUCAACUCUAGGUAUAUUUGGUGUGAUCAGUUUUGCAACAUAAAAACAAUGGCCAUAAAUUCACAAGCCAUUUACUGAUGAUGAAGUGAUGGCCAGGUAUCAAUGCCAUCUCUCUGGUCACAGCCAAGUGUCCAAAACCUGGACUCAUAAUUUCUUAUUUACCAUCUUGCUACAGAGAUCAUUGUCAAAUUUGGAAAUAAUUAAAGAGGGAGAAUUGUUUUCUAGCUACUCUUGGCAGGGAAAAGAAAGCCUGCCUUGAUUUUUGCUAGGAAGAUGGGACAGAUACGUGGCAGAAGGGCAGAUAGAGGGGAGGUUAGAGCUGAGUCAGAGUGGGUGUUGGUUGUGCAGUUCUCUGGGAAGGACUUGCGAGUUACAGAAUUAAAAGUGUAUUAUCCUAUGUGAUAAAUAGAAUUUGAGAAGAAACCCUGUAGUAGAUGGAGGAUUCUUCUUAAUGCAGCUUGGCUUUUUUUUAUCUUUUAAAUUUUAUUUUUCCACAUUUUUUAUUGGUGUAUUAUAAUUGUACAUAAUGGUGAGAUCUGUUGUUACAUAUUCAUACAUGGAUACAAUAUAACAAUAUAGUUUGACUAAUAUCACCACCCUGUACUUUUCCCCCUUCUCCUCCUCCCAUCCCCUAAUUUUUUUUAAUCUAACUCACUAAAAGGAUUCUAUCUCCAGAAUCACAACUCUUCAUAACAUAAGAAAUUCACAAGUUUUUCCCUUUUCGGGACAACAUCCUUUCAGGUCACCCUGCCCGCCACCAUUGAGCUUCUGCAGGAACAUGUUGGGACUUCUAGAACGAUGGAACUGAAAUAGGUGGGUCUGGACUGGAGUGUUCUGACUGACUGGAUCUUUGGGAUGAUACCACCUUACUCCCUACCUGGAUAUAGUACUUCUAUCAGCACACCGACCUUGCCACUGAUGUUUCUAAUCCACAAGGAGACUCUGAAUGUCAGUACCUUCCCUUGAUGCAACAUCCAAAUAAAGAUGACUUUCACUUGGGACCAAAUCCUGAGAAUAUCCAGAAGCGCUCAGAGCCAUCGCUAAUUGUUCCUAUUUUUCAUCUGGAGAGCUUGGCAGGUCGGUGACAUUAUAGCAAAAGUCUCCCCACUAGGACCUUGCCAAUUUCAGCUUUAAUUCCAUCAGUAAACAACUUUGACUGUGUUGGGAAAAUUCCAUUAAUCAUUCAUGUUCUGCGAAGAAUGAUACACAAAGGAGCUGUCAGCACGAGGCAGCAACUUUCCAUUUGUUUGGUAAUUAAGAACUCCAGGCCAUCUAAUGGUGCCGAGAUGCAAAUUCAUUGCCUGGUUGGAGCCAUUGGAAUGAGCUGAAAAGGAUGCACUUGCACUUACACCCCUCAUGUCAGAUGAUUUGAUGGAUCAUUCCCGCUCCUCUUAGGUGAACAGCAAGCAUAUUGCUUCAAGCUGAAAUGGUACACUUUGAAAAAGCCUUUUUAUUUUAUUUUAUUUUAUUUUAAAGAUUCCACCUCUUUAGUACGUAUACUUUUAAAACUUGUUUCUGAAACAUAGUUUGAGACAUGAAUGCAUCAAUGAAUAUUUUUCAUGAAUCAAAAUUUUAUAUUACCCAAAUAUAAUGAGUCAUACUACCCUAUUAUUUUGCAGAACCAGAGACCCAGGAAAUGUAGGAAAUGAGAAUCCUCUGUAACAGGUAACAUGUUUUGUUUUGUUUUUUCAAUCUGGAUUGCAUAUUAAUAAAUUUAUUUUGAUACCCAGAGACAAUUUGACACUUAAUAUUUACCAGGAAUUCAGCCACAACAUUACAAGAGGCUAUGAAGAAAAUGCUCUGAUAAACCAGAUAUUGCUAGUAGGUCUCCAUGGGAUUCUUGCAUCAUCAGGAAAGUUUAGCCACAAGGUUACAUUUAGAAACACUGAUAGUAUUCAAAUAUCCCAAGUCCUCAUCACUAUUUUCUCCUGUCCAUUACCUUCUUCUUUUCAUUGAAAUCUCUGGUUGAAAUAUCAUGCUCACAGGAAACUAGUGGGAGAGAGUCAAUUCAUGUAUUCAUGCAAUAAGAAAGGACAUUCUCAUGGACAUUUCUGAACACCACUCUCUGUUUCCCCCCCACCCUCUUGGUUAGUUUGAAAAGAUUCCAGGGCUUCAGCUGAGAAAAACUUGCUGGAAAAAUGUCCAGAACUUUUUUUUUUUUUUUAACAAAUCCUUCUCAACUACAAGUUUCUAUAUGUAUAUAUUCUUUAUAAAGAGCUUUCAAGGAGGAACUUCUGGCAACACUUUAAAUGAAAUAUUUUUUGUUUACGGAUGAACAUAAAUUACAAAAUGUAACCCAUAAUUGAGGCUUCAUAGCAGGCAGGUUUUAUUUAAAAAAUGAAAAUAUCAGGAAAUUGUAGUCUGUUAAUAUUCAUUUAUUUCUUAUAGUUACUUAAUGAUCUGCCUUACAUUAAUACUCAUAGUUGCAUCUUUACAUCACUUUGCAAAUUUUAUGGACUUAGAUGAUAGUAAAACAUCAUAACAGAAUCAUAUUAGAAACAGCAUUUUCUCUGUGGCCUCUUCAGUAGUUAGAGAUAUUUGUUAUGUGUGAUAGCUAUCAAUUAUGCCCCAAACAAAUUCAAUCUGAACAUAACCAGGGACAAUAAUAUUGCCCUCUGCUCUCAUCUCUUUUUCCACACAAAAGGUAUUUAUAUAAAUGUGUGGUAUUCCAUUAUACAGCUUAAAUAGUUUAAAAGCAUUUUUCUGUUUCCAUAAAUAUACAGGCUACAUUGACUAUGCAUGUUUAAAUUUCCACUUUGCCUUUAGAGAUUAAAAAAAAGGUCAUGCAAAUAAUAAAUUGUUGCAUUGCUGUGCCUCCAAUACCACAUUUGUGAUUUCUUUUCAGAAUAAAAUAAAG
rnacentral:lncRNA from 1 species